GGCUCAGGAUGAACGCUAGCUACAGGCUUAACACAUGCAAGUCGAGGGGAAACGAUAUUGGAAGCUUGCUUCCGAUAGGCGUCGACCGGCGCACGGGUGAGUAACGCGUAUCCAACCUGCCCAUCACUUGGGGAUAACCUUGCGAAAGUAAGACUAAUACCCAAUGACGUCUCUAGAAGACAUCUGAAGGAGAUUAAAGAUUUAUCGGUGAUGGAUGGGGAUGCGUCUGAUUAGCUUGUUGGCGGGGUAACGGCCCACCAAGGCGACGAUCAGUAGGGGUUCUGAGAGGAAGGUCCCCCACAUUGGAACUGAGACACGGUCCAAACUCCUACGGGAGGCAGCAGUGAGGAAUAUUGGUCAAUGGGCGAGAGCCUGAACCAGCCAAGUAGCGUGCAGGAUGACGGCCCUAUGGGUUGUAAACUGCUUUUAUAAGGGAAUAAAGUGGGAGUCGUGACUCUUUUUGCAUGUACCUUAUGAAUAAGGACCGGCUAAUUCCGUG
rnacentral:rRNA from 1 species